rnacentral:misc_RNA from 1 species
AAAAAUUAAAAAGGGUAGAGAGAGAGAGGAAAGGGAACCGUCUCAGAGUCAAACCAAAACACAACAUCAAUAUCAAAAAGUUUUCGCCGAUGUUAUCUCCUCCUCUUUUCCGGUGAAGUGUUUCCGAUAUUCAUGCUUCAUCUGAUCGUCAAAUUACGUAAGCGCUCGGCGGCAGUGUCGGAGGUGGAAGCUUGUGGUGGCCGCGCCGAAGUAAGCGGUGGAGUACUGAAGGAAGUUGUUGAAGUGCAUAUUGAUCCUUUUUUCCGGUCGUUACUUGCUGGUUACCGGUGAGAUUCUAGAAACUUCGUAUUUAAUUAUAUUAUUAUGAAGAAAAGCCAAAACAGCAGCAAUAGCAACAGUAAUAACAAAAGUAAGGUGAAGAAUGGGACCAGUACCCAUGGAUUUCUCCCUAAUUCUCUCAAGUUCAUCUCAUCUUGCAUCAAGACGGUUUCGUCCAAUGUCCGGACCGCUGGUGCCUCUGUCGCCGGUUCCUCCUCCGACGAUCACCGCAAAGACCAGGUUUUAUGGGCUUGCUUUGACAGACUAGAGCUUGGUUUGUCUUCAUUCAAACGAGUGCUCCUUAUUGGUUACUCAGAUGGAUUUCAAGUUCUUGAUGUUGAAGAUGCUUCAAAUGUUUGUGAACUAGUUUCGAGGCGGG